rnacentral:tRNA from 1 species
AUGUAACGUAAUGGAUAGCGUGUUGGACUUCUAAUCCAAAGGUCGUGGGUUCGAACUCCAUCUGGAAUG